rnacentral:rRNA from 1 species
GACGUAGGGCGCGAGCGUUGUCCGGAUUUAUUGGGCGUAAAGAGCUCGUAGGCGGCUUGUUGCGUCAGCUGUGAAAACCCGCAGCUCAACUGUGGGCUUGCAGCUGAUACGGGCAGGCUUGAGUUCGGUAGGGGAGACUGGAAUUCCUGGUGUAGCGGUGAAAUGCGCAGAUAUCAGGAGGAACACCAAUGGCGAAGGCAGCUCACUGGGACGGUAUUGACGCUGAGACGCGAAAGCGUGGGGAGCAAACAGG